rnacentral:misc_RNA from 1 species
AACGCAUAUUGCGCCCUUUGGUAUUCCGAGGGGCAUGCCUUUUCGAGCGUCAUUAGGAUCAACAAUCAAGCUUUGCUUGGAAUUGAGCGCACGGAGACAGGUGCGCUUCAAAGCAGAGGUAGGGCGCGGUCUGAAGGUCGACGUGAGGUGCGGUCGUUUUCGAUCGCGCACGCGCCGAUCGGCUUGCGCGGGAUGCCAGGUAUUGUACGCAGUCACCUAGGUGGCCCGGCGGGUUAAGGCCCUUUCGGCCCAGCAACUGACAGUCUAGAUGGGGAAGCUAGACGUUGGACCUCGGAUAAGGUAGGGAUACCCGCUGAACUUAA